GAUAAACGCUGGCGGCGCACAUAAGACAUGCAAGUCGAACGAAAGUCGUUAUAUUGAUUUUGAUUUUAAUUUGAGGAUUUAUCCGAUAAAAGAAUGAGAAUGAUAUAUAACAAUGGCUUUAGUGGCGGACUGGUGAGUAACGCGUAAGCAAUCUACCUAUUAGAGGGGAAUAACAGUGAGAAAUCAUUGCUAAUACCGCAUAUGCCAUAAUUAUCACAUGAUAAUAGUGGGAAAGGAGUAAUCCGCUAAUAGAUGAGCUUGCGUCUGAUUAGCUAGUUGGUAGGGUAAUGGCCUACCAAGGCGACGAUCAGUAGCCGGACUGAGAGGUUGAACGGCCACAUUGGGACUGAGAUACGGCCAGACUCCUACGGGAGGCAGCAGUCGGGAAUUUUGCGCAAUGGAGGAAACUCUGACGCAGUGACGCCGCGUAUAGGAAGAAGGUUUCGGAUUGUAAACUAUUGUCGUUAGGAAGAUACAAGACAGUAACCG
rnacentral:rRNA from 1 species